UCUUCCCUCUUUCUUCGUGCUUAACACAUGCAAGUCGAACGGAAAGGCCAGUGCUUGCACUGGUACUCGAGUGGCGAACGGGUGAGUAACACGUGGGUGAUCUGCCCUGUACUUCGGGAUAAGCUUGGGAAACUGGGUCUAAUACCGGAUAGGACAACUUUUUGGAUAUUGUUGUGGAAAGCUUUUGCGGUAUGGGAUGAGCUCGCGGCCUAUCAGCUUGUUGGUGGGGUAAUGGCCUACCAAGGCGUCGACGGGGAGCCGGCCUGAGAGGGUGUACGGCCACAUUGGGACUGAGAUACGGCCCAGACUCCUACGGGAGGCAGCAGUGGGGAAUAUUGCACAAUGGGCGCAAGCCUGAUGCAGCGACGCCGCGUGGGGGAUGAAGGCCUUCGGGUUGUAAACUCCUUUCGCUAGGGACGAAGCUUUUUUGUGACGGUACCUGGAGAAGAAGCACCGGCUAACUACGUG
rnacentral:rRNA from 1 species